CACCGCGGUUAUACGAAAGACUCAAGCUGACAGCCGCCGGCGUAAAGAGUGGUUAAUUGAAACACAAAACUAAAGCCGAACAUCUACAAGGCCGUAUAACGCAUUCGAAGGUAUGAAGACCAUCCACGAAAGUAGCUUUACGUCUUUUGAUUCCACGGAAGCUAGGGAA
rnacentral:rRNA from 1 species